UACGGGGGGGGCAAGCGGUUGUUCGGAAUUACUGGGCGUAAAGGGCCCGUAGGCGGCCAACUAAGUCCGACGUGAAAUCCCCAGGCUUAACCUGGGAACUGCGUCGGAUACUGGAUGGCUUGAAUCCGGGAGAGGGAUGCAGAAUUCCAGGUGUAGCGGUGAAAUGCGUAGAUAUCUGGAGGAACACCGGUGGCGAAGGCGGCAUCCUGGACCAAUUCUGACGCUGAGUGAGCGAAAGCCAGGGGAGCAAACGGG
rnacentral:rRNA from 1 species